rnacentral:lncRNA from 1 species
UGGAGCGCCUGCGCUCUGAACUUGCUGACAGAGACCAGCAAAUCUCCCAGAGUGCCAUUCCUCGCGCCGUGGUCAGCGAGCACGUGGAAGAAGAGGCCCGUGACGAGGAGAUAAGACCCGAAGUCCCGUCUGCGUCGCCAACGCUGCAGUUGCCCGGGUGUUCUACUUGGUCAGAGCAACGGCUUCGCACCGAGACUGCGU